rnacentral:rRNA from 1 species
UACGGGGGGUGCAAGCGUUGUUCGGAUUUACUGGGCGUAAAGGGCGCGUAGGCGGCACUGCAAGUCAGUUGUGAAAUCUCCGGGCUUAACCCGGAAAGGUCAACUGAUACUGCAGGGCUAGAGUGCAGAAGGGGCAACUGGAAUUCUCGGUGUAGCGGUGAAAUGCGUAGAUAUCGAAAGGAACACCUGCGGCGAAGGCGGGUUGCUGGGGUGACACUGACGCUGAGGCGCGAAAGCCAGGGGAGCGAACGGG